UACGAAGGGGGCUAGCGUUGCUCGGAAUUACUGGGCGUAAAGGGCGCGUAGGCGGCUCAUGAAGGCUGUGGUGAAAGUCCGGGGCUCAACCUCGGAUCGGCCGUGGCGACUCGUGGGCUGGAGCACUGUAGAGGCGGGUGGAAUUCCGGGUGUAGCGGUGGAAUGCGUAGAGAUCCGGAAGAACACCAGUGGCGAAGGCGGCCCGCUGGGCAGUGGCUGACGCUGAGGCGCGACAGCGUGGUGGA
rnacentral:rRNA from 1 species